GUUGACUUUGUUCUUAUCUAAUCUUAUAUAAUACAAAUGUUACUUUAAAAAAGAGAAUUUACUGUUCAAUUGUUGGUAGAGCUGAAAGUUCAGACAUUUUCUUUGAACCUUUUUCUUAUUUUUUAAAUUUAAUACUGUACAUCUUGAAAAUUAUUGUUUAAAUAUUACUUUAAUUAACUAAUGGUAUAUUCUACAUUUGUCAAUUUUAAUCAAGAAUGAAACACCACUUUCACUUGAAUACAGACUUGUUAUUAAACAAAAGAGUUGAAAACUUUAUACAAAUAUAGGAAAGGAUCGUUAUUGUUAAGAAAACUACAAAGAUAAACAGUACAAAUUAAUGUACAGAAAGUCAUUAGAUGUUUUAUUCUUCAGUCCCCAUGGAAAGAUUUUUAGAUCAUAACUUGUGAAGUUGAUAUCAGUUUGCAUAGUUUUACACAUACAUUUGCAAGAUAUUUAAAACAAAAAUAAAUGGUCUUUUAUUUCAAUACUGUACUAUCUUUUUUAUAGUCAACUUUAUAUGCAUAAGUGUUGCUUUUCUGCUAUCUGCCUAUUGCACUAUAUAUAUAACUUGUUUUUCAUCCCAUAUUGCAGUAUUAUGCUAGAUGUUCAAUUAAAAAUAUUGACAAAUUAAGAUUUUGUUCUUUUUUUUUUUUUUUU